rnacentral:rRNA from 1 species
ACUCCUACGGGAGGCAGCAGUAGGGAAUCUUCCACAAUGGACGCAAGUCUGAUGGAGCAACGCCGCGUGAGUGAAGAAGGUUUUCGGAUCGUAAAGCUCUGUUGUUGGUGAAGAAGGAUAGAGGCAGUAACUGGUCUUUAUUUGACGGUAAUCAACCAGAAAGUCACGGCUAACUACGUGCCAGCAGCCGCGGUAAUACGUAGGUGGCAAGCGUUGUCCGGAUUUAUUGGGCGUAAAGCGAGCGCAGGCGGAAUGAUAAGUCUGAUGUGAAAGCCCACGGCUCAACCGUGGAACUGCAUCGGAAACUGUCAUUCUUGAGUGCAGAAGAGGAGAGUGGAACUCCAUGUGUAGCGGUGGAAUGCGUAGAUAUAUGGAAGAACACCAGUGGCGAAGGCGGCUCUCUGGUCUGCAACUGACGCUGAGGCUCGAAAGCAUGGGUAGCGAACAGGAUUAGAUACCCUGGUAGUC